rnacentral:miRNA from 1 species
AUGUCGGAUACAAUGAGCACAAA